rnacentral:rRNA from 1 species
AUUGAACGCUGGCGGAAUGCUUUACACAUGCAAGUCGAACGGCAGCACGGGGGCAACCCUGGUGGCGAGUGGCGAACGGGUGAGUAAUGCAUCGGAACGUACCCAAUCGUGGGGGAUAACUGGCCGAAAGGUCAGCUAAUACCGCAUACGUCCUGAGGGAGAAAGCAGGGGAUCGCAAGACCUUGCGCGAUUGGAGCGGCCGAUGUCUGAUUAGCUAGUUGGUGGGUAAGAGCCUACCAAGGCGACGAUCAGUAGCUGGUCUGAGAGGAUGAUCAGCCACACUGGGACUGAGACACGGCCCAGACUCCUACGGGAGGCAGCAGUGGGGAAUUUUGGACAAUGGGCGCAAGCCUGAUCCAGCCAUUCCGCGUGAGUGAAGAAGGCCUUCGGUUGUAA